rnacentral:lncRNA from 1 species
CACACACACACACACUAUAGAUUUGAUUUUUUUGUAUGUUUGAUUUUUAAUGAAGGGUAAAAUGGUAAAAAUAAUAAUUCAUUGCAUUUUUAAACAAUAAAGCUGGAAAAAAAGUUAAUAUAUGCUAAAAGAAAUUUAUAUUGUUGUUAAUGGGCCCAACAAAAGCAAUUGAUUUACAUCAUUGACUUUUCAAUUCCUGCCUGGUUGCCUCAUGUCUCUUCGUGUCUUCUCAUUUAGUGCUUGUCUUCUUCUUCACCAUCUUCUCUGCGUUUCUUCUUCUUUCUUCUUCCUCAGUUUUCUUCUUCAGUCACCGGCCACCUCUUUUUGUAUAAAAUCUGCAUUUUUUCUUCUCCGACACGUCGCAAGUAACUCGGACACGUGUCGACGACGUGUCGGUGUCUGAUCGGACACCGACACGUCGUUGCCGACAGCGUGUCCGUGCUUCC